CAGAUUUAUUUCUUCUUGCCUAGAGACCAUUAUGAUAAUGCAGCAGGGCCACCAGUCAGUUUCAGAUAAUGAUGUCAACCCCGGCCACCAAGAAGUAACCUUGUCUCCACUAGACAGAGCAGGUUGCAGGAAUUUAGCCAAUUCAGAGGUCUUGUUCUCCAUAAUUUGGAAUUUUCCUUCGGAUUUGAUCAAGUUGGAUAGAGUUGGUCAAACCCAAUGGGAAAAAGAUGAAAACAACAAGAAACAGAAACAAACAGCAACAACAACAACAACAAAAACAAAGCAGGAAAAAACUGAAACUCAUCUUCCCUGCUGGAAACGAGCUCAAACUCCAGAAAGGAGUUACCUGCCUUCCAUCAUCAUGGACGCAGGAAAAUUUGCCUUCCUUGUUGGAAGCAAGUAAAACUCCAAAAAAGGAGUUGCACAGCAAAAUAAACUUCAGAUCUCAAC
rnacentral:lncRNA from 1 species